GGAAAGAGGAAUCACCUUUUCCGAGGGAGUAAAGAAAAUCCAAAGGAGGCAGCUUUGGCUCUAUCGAUGGAACUAUUGUUAGAAAGAGGCCUUGGCUGCCGCCUUCUAUAGGACCUGUCCUUCUCCUAUCUAUGGGCUUUCUUUUGUCUUAUCUCCUCUACCCUUCUGCUUUUACAUCUCUCUCUCUCUCCAUUCCUAGCUGCUACUCUUUGCCUCUCUUCAAGGCCACACAAAUGAUAUUAUAAGGGAGCUCAUCAAAGCUUAACUAUGUUAUAUAUAUAUAUGUAGUUCUACAAUAUAGUGGGGAAAGCAAGAGCUACACACAGCUUUCUCUCUGAAAUUCUGCUGUUACCAUCUGCAAAUUUUGUUAUUCUCUCUGCAUUUCAGCUGGUUUGGGAAGCUCAAAACUUAGGGGACCACGCCAAGUCUGGUAGUAGUACUCGUCUACUGUUGAUAUGCCUAGCUAUGCUUGCCUGGCUCCCUGAAUGCCAUCUAUGAAGCUUGUCAAAGAGUGUUGGCAACCUUCCUACUUGGCAUGAGGGGAGUCACGCAGGCCCAAAUGUGAUGAUUACUGAUAGUACUUAUAUGUAAAUGCCUCUUGCAAUCCUUUGUAGAUCUUCGUGUGUAUGUAUAUAUUUAUUCUAGGAGGCUUGUGCGAAAGCAACCAAGUUGAUUGCAAUUAGCCCAGGAUAACCUCCCCUUAAGCUUAGAUAAUUUUUAGUGUACCAUCAAUGGGUGGUACCUCAUGGCAGAUUUUGGAUGUCAAUGAAAGCUUUUCGCCAGUGUUUUCUGAACUUAAUAUAUAUGUGGCUGUGAAGUACUCCUUUGAUGCAGGUUCCUGGGCCUGGGUUUUGUGUCCAAGGGCCUGUUUGGUAGGCCAUUUCAAGCAACUUUUAGAGCAUGGUAAACAUACUAAUAGACAUUUUCACACUUAUUCAUCCACACGUAUAUCAAAAACACUCAAACAAUAUUAUUCAAACUCCUUUAUUAAACACCCCUAAAUCUCCUCAACUCUGAAAAAUAUUGAUAUCCUCCAUUCAUAUCUACCUUCAAACUGCAGCUGGACCUACUAGCCAUCAUAUAACUAUAAAGCUUGCAGUAUUUGUUGCGUGAUCUUUUAUUUUUAUUUAUUUUUUCCUUUCUUUCUUUUCCUUUUUUUAUUGUGUACAUGUCUUGAUUGAGAUUUGAGAUAACACAUGUUCGUUGUCUUGUUUUUGAUAGUAUUGAAGCCUAUUGUUCUUUAGUUUUCAAUAGAAUUAGUACCCAUUUUUGUCUUUCUCUUACUCCCUUGGAAACAUAUGCUAAGACUUGUAUACAUCAAUCAUUAAUGUUGUACUCAUGAUGUCUACAAGUCUGUCCAACUUGGGUUGCCAAUUUUGACUAGGCAAGACAAAGACCCAACCUACAGCCAAGAACAAACAGUCCACUAUGGAAAAUUAUUAGAUACUUUGAAAAAGGUAAUGUGGUACUUCUCACCAACCAAUUUGUGAUGGCUUCUUAAUACAAUGGGCUAGUUAACUGGUGGCAUUUGGU